UAGACAAAAGAACAAAGAUUUUCCCUUUGGUGUAAGCUCAUCCUACACAUGUCAUUUGGACCAGACCAAGGCUGCUGUCAUGGAGGACCCACACCACAGCUUGGGAACCAUUCAUCUACCAGAGGGUCACAUGACUUCAAAUGACUCUUCUAGGGGCCACCUGCCAUGAUAGGGUACCAGCUCUUCCUCUGAAUUCCCAAUCCAUUUCUUGAGAACUACUGUUUCUAAUAAGAGGGGAAGAAGGUCAUGUGGGAAUCAGUUAAAUCACGUGUGGAUAGAAGACAAGUUCCAGCUUUGUGGGAAAUCCUGUAGCCUUCGCCAGGUACACCCUGACAAUCUCAGAACUGAUCAGAGUCUUGCUCUGUCAUCCAUGCUGGCGUGCAGUGGCGUGAUCUUCGCUCACUGCAACCUCUGCCUGCCAGGUUCAAGUAAUUCUCCUGCCUCAGACUCCGGAGUAGCUGGGAUUACAGGCACACACCACCAAUGGUAGUUGUCUGUUCUUUCGAUGUCUAUCCAGCUAUGAUUCCCAAACUCAUAAGACAGUCUCAUGGGCCCAACAAAGUUUUUGUUCCAUGUGAGAUACCCACGCCACUUUAAAAAACAAACUAUCCUGACAUCUAAUUACUUUGUGAAUGAUUGUAAUGGCAAUAACAAUAGAGAUGGAAGAAUUUUGGAAACAAUACUAGUUUCACAGCUUUCAUGUGAGAUGCCAAGGUUUUAGCAUCGUCAGAUUGGCAAUGAGAUUGGAUAACUUCUGGGGUCUUUUUGAAAUUAUAUCUUUCUUUUCUCUAGGAUCCUACUUCUGGAAAAUAAGAUUAAUACUAAUACUAAUAAGACACAAAGAUUUUUAAUGGAAAUAGGAAUAUCUUCAAAGGCUGGAUGGACAUUGCAUGCACUGUAUGACAACAUUCGUGUAUAAUAAGAUCCUUUCCUUAGAGAAUGGGGCAAAUCCAGAUGGAAUGUGAGAAAGACUUCAAGGUUUCAGUGGAAUAUGCUUAUAUUGGGAAUUGUAUUAGUUAAGACUAGGUUUGGCUGCACAUGACAGAAAACCCAACAUAGUCACUUACACAGGAUUAAAACAUUUCCUUGUCAUAUGAAAGUCUAGAAGUGGUAUGUAGCUCUGGGUGUCAGGGAUGAAGAUUCCUUCUAACUGGGAACCCAGCUUCCCAUUUCAAAGAUUGCUUCAUAUUCAAAAUGGCUGCUGGGUCUCCAGGUAUAGAGUCCACCUUCCAGCUAGAAGAACAAAGAACCAAAAUGAGGCGUGUUCUCCCCUGUAAGGAUACUUUCGUAAGUUGAAUAGGAUGCUUUCAUAAGCAUCUCAUUGGCCAGACUGGUUAGAACUUAGUAACUGGCCACAAUCAGCUGGAAAGAAGGCUGGCAAAUAGAAUAUUUAAGGUGGUCACUGUAAUCAGCAAAAAAA
ensembl:lncRNA novel transcript